GGUGGAAAGAUUUAUCGGUCUUGGAUGGACUCGCGGCCUAUCAGCUUGUUGGUGAGGUAAUGGCUCACCAAGGCGACGACGGGUAGCCGGCCUGAGAGGGUGACCGGCCACACUGGGACUGAGACACGGCCCAGACUCCUACGGGAGGCAGCAGUGGGGAAUAUUGCACAAUGGGCGCAAGCCUGAUGCAGCGACGCCSCGUGAGGGAUGACGGCCUUCGGGUUGUAAACCUCUUUCAGUAGGGAAGAAGCCUUUCGGGGUGACGGUACCUGCAGAAGAAGCGCCGGCUAACUACGUGCCAGCAGCCGCGGUAAUACGUAGGGCGCGAGCGUUAUCCGGAAUUAUUGGGCGUAAAGAGCUCGUAGGCGGUUUGUCGCGUCUGCUGUGAAAGCCCGGGGCUUAACUCCGGGUCUGCAGUGGGUACGGGCAGACUAGAGUGCAGUAGGGGAGACUGGAAUUCCUGGUGUAGCGGUGAAAUGCGCAGAUAUCAGGAGGAACACCGAUGGCGAAGGCAGGUCUCUGGGCUGUUACUGACGCUGAGGAGCGAAAGCAUGGGGAGCGAACAGGAUUAGAUACCCUGGUAGUCCAUGCCGUAAACGUUGGGCACUAGGUGUGGGGGACAUUCCACGUUUUCCGCGCCGUAGCUAACGCAUUAAGUGCCCCSGCCUGGGGGAGUACGGCCGCAAGGCUAAAACUCAAAGGAAUUUGACGGGGCCCGCCACAAGCGGCGG
rnacentral:rRNA from 1 species